AUGUUUUUUAUUUUAAAAGUGAAUUUUACAAUAAAUGAACAAAGGAGCAAGGGACCAUAUAGGCUGGCUUCCACGGUUCUAUUAGGAGCACUGCAUUGUUACUUCUGGUUAUCUAGACUAAUUGAUGCAAGUUUGCAUCGACAUGGUAUAUUACCACCCAAGUUUUGGUUGUGUAUUGUAGUUUAUUUGUUGGCACAAGUACACAAGAUAAAUUUCAUGAUGCAUACUUGCAAUCUUGCUCAGUUGUUGCGAGGAACUUUCGUCUAUUUAUGUUUUCAUUACAGAUUUAGAAUUUUCAUCUACAUCCUUUUCUUUCUAAUGGAAGGUGGAUUUUCAUUACAUUUUUCCGUUUGUGGUUUAGGUAGGACAGGUGAGCUGAAAAUAGUUUCACAAGUACACUAUAUGUGCCUUUACAUUUUUUUCCAUUCUACUUAA
rnacentral:rRNA from 1 species